UACGUAGGGGGCAAGCGUUGUCCGGAAUCAUUGGGCGUAAAGCGCGUGUAGGCGGCUGAGUAAGUCUGCUCUGAAAGCCCGGGGCUCAACCCCGGGAGGCGGGUGGAUACUGCUCAGCUCGAGUCCGGAAGAGGAUGGUGGAAUUCCCGGUGUAGCGGUGAAAUGCGUAGAGAUCGGGAGGAACAUCAGUGGCGAAGGCGGCCAUCUGGAUCAACACUGACGCUGAGGCACGAAAGCGUGGGGAGCAAACAGG
rnacentral:rRNA from 1 species